CGGAGGUCGGGUUUCCUUUCCCCAUCUAUCCUCUGGAAGCAAGCUUCUGUCGACACCGUGGGAGCGGGUUAGAGUGCGGUGCGGGGGAGAGAGGACCGCCACAUCUUGGGCUCGCCGGUGCUGCCCUUCUACACCAGUGGGGUGGUUCUGGGGCUUCGCCAGCACGCGGGGAAGCUUUGCCUGGUUCGUGCGCAUCGGGGUUGUGGCCGGAGCCUGGGUAAUUUCUCGACGGAAUUUUGGCCUCCGUGGUGUGGCCACCGAGCACCGCAGAUUGGACACGUGAUCGCAUAACAGAAGGUAAAUAACCAAUUGAAUCACUUCCCCAUGUCCUUUCAAUCGUAUUUACGCAAAUUGGGGCGGAAACCAGGCAACGGGGGCACCAGUGCGUCGUGCUCCGGCGGGAUUCCGCCGUGCAGACUGGGCGGCGCCGUCGCGCUCUGGUGUCGGGCGGGGAGGAUGCCUCGUCACCGUCAGAUCACUUGUGGGCGGUUGAGAUUAGAUCGACCCAUACCCCUUCACUCGAUUAAAUCUGUGCCGUCGGUUGCAGGCUUUGCGGUCGAGAUUGGGUUACGGCGUGGAUGCCUCACGACCAUCAGAUCUUAAUCUAGCGGCUGUCGUUGGAUACUGAGUUAGGUUUUAUAAAAAAAUCUAAUCGCAACCGUUAGAUAGAGAUCCAACGGCCCAAAUAGCCCGAUACCCCUUCGCCCUGGCCUAUUUGCUAAAGAGACCCCGUAAUCUUUACAAAUUAACCCGCCGUCCGAUUCGGAUACAAACUGAGUCUUAAGACAAUUUAUGAGUUAGACCUCGGGUUCUCUGUUAAUGUUUGCGCAGUCCAGAACCUAAAAGAAAUUCGAGAUUAAAUAAGGAAAAAUGGAAUUUUAGUAUAAAAAUAAAUCUUGAAACUUAUUUAAUUCAUAGAAAUUCCAUUUUUACUCCUUUUUAACCCAUUCCAGUUGCAAUAAUUUUGUAUUAAUAUUGUCUAUCAACUAAUAACACUGUUUAGCCAUGAAACUUGAAUUAAAAUUGUUCAUUAGGAUCAAUCUAUUCUAAGUACCAAAUAAUUUCGGAAAUUUAUAACUUAAUAACCGUAGCCCCGAAUUUAGUGGUUCUUGUUUCUACGAUCUCGUAGCUUCGCGUAGAUUAUUAAUGCGCAGUUUAUCCUUAUGUUUGGUGUGAUGUUAAUUUUGCCUAUACAUGUUUGUCUAUAUUGCUACGUUUAGCGGUGAGGACACGAGUCACCUGAAGAGCAAGUUGGUACCUGGAAUCUCAAGUCCCAGGCAAGUUGUGCCCUUGAUCACUUCUUUUACCCACUCAUGUUCUAAUUAAUCAUAAUGAUCUGCAUAGGUUAAUUUUGAUGGGACCUAAUAGGUUACCUAGUUUGUCUAUCUUUAUGCCUUGUUUACCACUGAACUUUUUGGGUAGUACUUGCUAGUGCUAUAUGUGGUUUUGGGCAUUGAGAUACACAUUAUUCAUGAUUAUACUUUUGUUAUCCGUUGUUAUUUACUGUUCAUGUCAAGAUCAUUAAUGUUAAUUGGAACAUAGAGCUUAACUUGAGAAACACGUGCCACCACAAGGGUUUAUGGACGCCCUUGGCUGAUUAAUUAGGAAAGCUAGUGGAGGACUACCUUACCCGAAAGGGGCAAGGGCAGUAGGGGAGUGGUCAGUGUAGGGAGGUCCUUGCUUGAUUUUGCUGCGAUGGCGGUCAAGCAAGAACCCUGCAUUGGAGCUUCCUAUAAACUGUAGCGGGUUUUCUGAAGCUAGUGGAACUUUGUAAAGGCCUCGUAGUGUUACCCUGCCUCGCCUCCUCGGUAGAGGUGUACGGGAAGUCGCGAUCCCUUAGCAGAUGGGUAACAUGGCUUGUGGGUAAAGGGUACAACCUCUGCAGAGUGUAAAACUGGUAUUGUCGGGGACCAUAAUUAGGGGUACCCUCAAGACUCCUAAUUCUCAGCUGGUAACCCCCAUCAGCAUAAAGCUGCAAAGGCCUGAUGGGUGCGAUUAAGUCAGGGAUCAGUCCAUUCGAGCGACUCGAUCACGCCUCGCCCGAGCCUAGCCUCGGACAAGGGCAGCCGACCCCGGAGGAUUUCCGUCUCGCCCGAGGCCCCCCUCCAACGGCGGACAUAUUUCCGGCUCGCCCGAGGCCCUCCCUUCGCUAAGAAGCAACCAUGACUAAAUCGCCGCACCGACCGACCAAGUCGCAGGAGCAUUUAAUGCAAAGGUGACCUGACACCUUUAUCCUGACGCGCGCCCCCCCCCGGCAGAGCCGAAGAGACCGCUGUCACUUCACCGCUCCACUGACCGGCCUGACAGAAGGACAGCGCCGACUGCGCCACUCCGACUGCAGUACCACUUGACAGAGUGAGACUGACAGGCUGUCAGGCCCGGCCAAAGGCACCAUAGGAAGCUCCGCUCCGCCCGACCCAGGGCUCGGACUCGGGCUAAGUCCCAGAAGAUGGCGAACUCCGCUCCGCCCGACCCAGGGCUCGGACUCGGGCUAAGUCCCAGAAGACGGCGAACUCCGCUCCGCCCGACCCAGGGCUCGGACUCGGGCUAAGUCCCGGAAGACGGCGAACUCUGCUCCGCCCGACCCAGGGCUCGGACUCGGGCUAAGUCCCGGAAGACGACGAACUCCGCUACGCCCGACCCAGGGCUCGGACUCGGGCUCAGCCCCAGAAGACGACGAACUACGCUCCACCCGACCCCAGGGCUCGGACUCCGCCCUGGCCUCUGCCGACGACCUCCGCCUCGCCCGACCCAGGGGCUCGGACUCGGCCUCGGCCACGGAAGACAGGCUCGACCUCGGCUUCGGAGGAGCCUCCGCAUCACCCAACCUAGGGCGUAGGCCAGCCACGUCAACGGGAGGUGCCAUCAUCACCCUACCCCGAGCUGACUCGGGCCGCAGGGAACAAGACCGGUGUCCCAUCUGGCUAGCUCCGCCUGAUAGGCAAUGAUGGUGCCCCGCAUACUCCGUGACGACGGCGGCUCUCAGCCCCCUUACGGAAGCAAGAGGACAUCAGCAAGGACCCGACCGCUCCGACAGCUGUCCCUCCGCCAGGCUCCGUCGCUCCUCCGACGGCCACGACAUCACACCAGCUGGGUGCCAAAAUCUCUCCGACUGCCACAUCGGCAUGUACUUAGGGCGCUAGCUCUCCCCCGCUAGACACGUAGCACUCUGCUACACCCCCAUUGUACACCUGGAUCCUCUCCUUGCGCCUAUAAAAGGAAGGACCAGGGCCCUCUUAGAGAGGGUUGGUCGCGCGGGGACGAGGACGAGACAGGCGCUCGCUUGGAGCCGCUCGCUUCCCUCACCCGCGUGGACGCUUGUAACCCCCUACUGCAAGCGCACCCGACCUGGGCGCGAGACGAACACGAAGGCCGCGGGAUUCCCACCUCUCUCGCACCGGUCUCCGGCCGCCUCCUCGCUUCUCCCCCCUUCGCGCUCGCCCUCGCGCUCGACCCAUCUGGGCUGGGGCACGCGGCGACACUCACUCGUCGGCCCACGGGACCCCCCGGUCUCGGAACGCCGACAGUUGGCGCGCCAGGUAGGGAACUGCUGCGUGUUGACGAACAGCUUCCCGUCAAGCUCCAGAUGGGCAGUCUCCAGCAACCUCUCCGACCCGGGACGGUGCUCCGUUUCGGGAGUCUUGAGUUCAUGUCCUUCGACGGCAGCUACGACACAAUACUCCUUCCAUCGCCGCGCGACAACGACAAUGGCGGCCGACAGCCCGCCCGCCGGCGGCGGAAUCGAUGACGUCUUCCCCGCGUGGUGGAAGAACAACCUCCGAGUUCGUCCCGCUUUCUCCCCCGCCGACGGAGGGGAAGGCAGGGCAACCAAGGCCAAGCAGGAGGCAGCGCCUCGUUGGCUGUCGAGCGAGUCGACAGCGCCGGCACCCCAACGAGGGGCGCACCGGGUAUCGACUUCGCGCCUGAGACGAAGACGAGCGCCGUCUCCCCGCGACACGCCAAUCCCGAGCAAGCGGACGACGCCAGCGCGCUCGCGGAGGGCUUGCAGGACGUCGCCCUCGUACCUGAGACGACGGUGCAAUCAGCCCCCGACGUGACUAUGUCGCUGCUCGUCGACCGAAAGGUACAGACCGAUUCCCAUCUUACGUCAUUUGGAUUCAGCCUCAACCCGCCUAGCGACCUCGCUUUGGCGGGCGCUCUCGUAGAGGCGAGUUCGAACCCCCUUGGGUUUCGCAUGCGGUCACCUUGGGACGGGCUGACGGACGUCUCGACCUACGGGCCCUCUGGGUCCGAGGAAGAUGACGACUCCAGCAUCUGUUGGGAUUUCUCUGGACUUGGCAACCCUAGUGCCAUGCGGGACUUCAUGACCGCAUGUGACUACUGCCUCUCCGAAUGUUCCGACGGUAGCCGCAACCUCGAUGACGAGGACUGCGGCCCAAGCCGCGAAUGUUUCCACGUCGAUCUAGGGGGUCCCUCCGAAGGCAAUCAUCUCAGCAUGCCGGAGGACGGUGAUCUCCCUAGGCCGGUGCCUCGCAGCUCGAGCAAGUACGUGGGGCGCAGGCCAGGUUCGACGAGGGAGCAGGAGCGCUUGAGCCGAUCCGCCGGGACGUCGGGCAGGCAUGUGCGGGCCAACCCCCGGCCGGAGAAAUACGUCACCUGCCCCAGGGUUUCCAGCACCGUGUCGCCGAUGACGUCAGGGUCAGGCCACCACCCGCAUCCAGUGGGGUCGGUCAGAACCUGGCUGCAGCAGCGAUGCUUCUUCGCGCGAUGCCGUAGCCGUCAACCACCGAGGGUCGGCGAAUCCAGGGGGAGCUCAAGAAUCUCCUGGAAGGUGCCGCGGUCCGACGGGCCAAGAGCUCAGCCUCCCAAAGGCAGGGAUACCCCUCGGAACCUCAUGUCGCGACUUCCCGAUUCAUGCGGGAAGCCUCGGCCUACACCGGGCGCACGCGCAACACCGCGCCUGCGGCCCCGGGCCGCCUCGGCAACGAGCACCAUCAUCACGACCGUCGGGCCCACCUCGACGAGAGGGCGCGCCGAGGCUAUCACCCCAGGCGUGGGGGACGCUACGACAGCGGGGAGGAUCGGAGUCCCUCGCCCGAACCACCCGGUCCGCAGGCCUUCAGCCGGGCCAUCCGACGGGCACCGUUCCCGACCCGAUUCCGACCCCGACUACUAUCGCAAAGUACUCGGGGGAGACGAGACCGGAACUGUGGCUCGCGGACUACCGCCUGGCCUGCCAACUGGGUGGAACGGACGACGACAACCUCAUCAUCCGCAACCUCCCCCUGUUCCUCUCCGACACCGCUCGCGCCUGGUUGGAGCACCUGCCUCCGGGGCAGAUCUCCAACUGGGAUGACCUGGUCCAAGCCUUCGCUGGCAAUUUCCAGGGCACGUACGUGCGCCCCGGGAAUUCCUGGGACCUCCGAAGCUGCCGACAGCAGCCGAAAGAGUCUCACCGGGAGUACAUCCGGCGAUUCUCGAAGCAGCGCACCGAGCUGCCCAACAUCACCGACUCGGAUGUCAUCGGCGCGUUCCUUGCCGGCACCACCUGCCGCGACCUGGUGAGCAAGUUGGGUCGCAAGACCCCCACCAGGGCGAGCGAGCUGAUGGACAUCACCACCAAGUUCGCCUCUGGCCAGGAGGCGGUCGAGGCUAUCUUCCGAAAGGACAAGCAGCCCCAAGGCCGCCCAUCGGAAGAUGCUCCCAAGGCGUCUACUCAGCGCGGCGCCAAGAAGAAAGGCAAGAAGAAGUCGCAAGCGAAACGCGACGCCGCCGACGCGGACCUUGUCGCCGCCGUCGAGUACAAGAACCCUCAGAAGCCCCCCAGAGGUGCCAACCUCUUCGACAAGAUGCUCAAGGAGCCGUGCCCCUAUCAUCAGGGGCCCGUCAAGCACACCCUUGAGGAGUGCGUCAUGCUUCGGCGCCACUUCCACAGGGCCGGGCCACCCGCAGAGGGUGGCAGGGCCCGCGACGACGACAAGAAGGAAGAUCACCAAGCAGGAGAGUUCCCCGAGGUCCGCGACUGCUUCAUGAUCUACGGUGGGCAAGCGGCGAAUGCCUCGGCUCGGCACCGCAAGCAAGAGCGCCGGGAGGUCUGCUCGGUCAAGGUGGCGGCGCCGGUCUAUCUAGACUGGUCCGACAAGCCCAUCACCUUUGACCAAGACGACCACCCCGACCACGUGCCGAGCCCGGGGAAAUACCCGCUCGUUGUCGACCCCGUCAUCGGCGACGUCAGGCUCACCAAGGUCCUUAUGGACGGAGGCAGCAGCCUCAACAUCAUCUACGCCGAGACCCUCAGUCUCCUGCGUGUUGAUCUGUCCUCCGUCCGAGCAGGCGCUGUGCCCUUCCAUGGGAUCAUUCCCGGGAAGCGCGUCCAGCCCCUCGGACGAUUCGACCUCCCCGUCUGCUUCGGAACGUCCUCCAACUUCCGAAGAGAGACUCUGACGUUCGAGGUGGUCGGGUUCCGAGGAACCUACCACGCGGUACUGGGAAGGCCAUGCUACGCGAAGUUCAUGGCCGUCCCCAACUACACCUACCUGAAGCUCAAGAUGCCGGGCCCCAACGGGGUCAUCACCGUCGGCCCCACGUACAAACACGCGUUCGAAUGCGACGUGGAGUGCGUGGAGUACGUCGAGGCCCUCGCCGAGUCCGAGGCCCUCAUCGCCGACCUGGACAGCCUCUCUAAGGAGGUGCCAGACGUGAAGCGUCACGCCGGCAACUUCGAGCCAGUGGAGACUGUUAAGGCCAUCCCCCUCGACCCCAGCGGCGACACCUCCAAGCAGAUCCGGAUCGGCUCCGGGCUCGACCCCAAAUAGGAAGCAGUGCUCGUCGACUUCCUCCGAGUGAACGUCGACGUCUUCGCGUGGAGUCCCUCGGACAUGCCCGGCAUACCGAGGGAUGUCGCCGAGCACUCGCUGGACAUUCGAGCCGGAGCUCGACCCGUCAAGCAGCCUCUGCGCCGAUUCGACGAGGAGAAGCGCAGAGCGAUAGGCGAGGAGAUCCACAAGCUAAUGACAGCAGGGUUCAUCAAAGAGGUAUUCCAUCCCGAGUGGCUUGCCAACCUUGUGCUUGUGAGAAAGAAAGGGGGGAAAUGGCGGAUGUGUGUAGACUACACUGGUCUCAACAAAGCAUGUCCGAAGGUUCCCUACCCUCUGCCUCGCAUCGAUCAAAUCGUGGAUUCCACUGCUGGGUGCGAAACCCUGUCUUUCCUCGAUGCCUACUCAGGGUAUCACCAAAUCAGGAUGAAAGAGUCCGACCAGCUCGCGACUUCUUUCAUCACGCCCUUCGGCAUGUACUGCUAUGUCACCAUGCCAUUCGGCUUGAGGAAUGCGGACGCGACGUACCAGCGGUGCAUGAACCAUGUGUUCGGCGAACACAUCGGUCGCACGGUCGAGGCCUACGUCGAUGACAUCGUAGUCAAGACGAGGAAAGCUUCUGACCUCCUUUCCGACCUUGAAGUGACAUUCCGAUGUCUCAAGGCGAAAGGCGUCAAGCUCAAUCCCGAGAAGUGUGUCUUCGGGGUGCCCCGAGGCAUGCUCUUGGGGUUCAUCGUCUCCGAGCGGGGCAUCGAAGCCAACCCGGAGAAGAUCGCAGCCGUCACCAGCAUGGGGCCCAUCAAGGACCUAAAAGGCGUACAGAGGGUCAUGGGAUGUCUCGCGGCUCUGAGCCGCUUCAUCUCACGCCUCGGCGAAAGAGGUCUGCCUCUGUACCGCCUCUUAAGGAAGGCCGAGUGCUUCACCUGGACCCCUGAGGCCGAGGAAGCUCUCGGGAACCUGAAGGCGCUCCUCACAAAGGCGCCUAUCUUGGUGCCCCUAGCUACCGGAGAAGCCCUCUUGGUCUACGUCGCCGCGACCACUCAGGUGGUUAGCGCCGCGAUUGUGGUCGAGAGGCAAGAAGAGGGGCAUGCAUUGCCCGUUCAGAGGCCAGUCUACUUCGUCAGCGAGGUACUGUCCGAAACCAAGAUCCGCUACCCAUAAGUUCAGAAGCUGCUGUAUGUAGUGAUCCUGACGCGGCGGAAGUUGCGACACUACUUCGAGUCUCAUCCGGUAACUGUGGUGUCGUCCUUCCCCCUGGGGGAGAUCAUCCAGUGCCGAGAGGCCUCGGGCAGGAUUGCAAAGUGGGCGGUGGAAAUCAUGGGAGAGACAAUCUCGUUCGCCCCUCGGAAGGCCAUCAAAUCCCAGGUCUUGGCGGACUUCGUAGCUGAAUGGGUCAACACCCAGCUACCGACGGCUCUGAUCCAACCGGAGCUCUGGACCAUGUUUUUCGACGGGUCGCUGAUGAAGACGGGAGCCGGCGCAGGCCUCCUCUUCAUCUCGCCCCUCGGGAAACACCUACGCUAUGUGCUGCGCCUCCAUUUCCCGGCGUCCAACAAUGUGGCUGAGUAUGAGGCUCUGGUCAACGGGUUGCGGAUCGCCAUCGAGCUAGGGGUCAGGCGUCUCGACGCCCGCGGUGACUCGCAACUCGUCAUCGACCAAUUCAUGAAGAACUCCCACUGCCGUGACCCGAAGAUGGAGGCCUACUGCGAUGAGGUUCGGCGCCUAGAAGACAAGUUCUACGGGCUCGAGCUUAACCACAUUGCUCGGCGCUACAACAAGACUGCGGAUGAGCUGGCAAAAAUAGCCUCGGGGCGAACAACGGUUCCCCCGAACGUCUUCUCCCGAGAUCUGCAUCAACCCUUCGUCAAGAUCGACGACACGCCCGAGCCUGAGGUGCCCUCGGCACAGCCCGAGGCACCCUCAGCUCGGCCCGAGGCACCCUCGGUUCAACCCGAGGUACCCUCGGCCUCCGAGGGUGAGGCACUACGCAUCGAGGGGGAGCGAAGCGGGGCCACGCCUGAUCAAAACUGGCAGACCCCGUACCUGCAAUAUCUCCGCCAAGGAGAGCUACCCCUCGACCGAGCCGAGGCUCGGCGUGUGGCGCGACGCGCCAAGUCGUUCGUCUUGCUGGGCGAUGAGAAGGAGCUCUACCACCGCAGCCCCUCAGGCAUCCUUCAGCGAUGCAUCUCCGUCGCCGAAGGUCAGGAACUCCUGCGAGAGAUACACUCGGGGGCUUGCGGCCAUCACGCAGCGCCUCGAGCCCUUGUCGGGAAUGCCUUCCGACAGGGCUUCUACUGGCCAACGGCGGUGGCUGACGCCACUAGGAUUGUCCGCACCUGCAAAGGGUGUCAAUUCUAUGCGAAGCAGACCCACCUGCCCGCCUAGGCUCUGCAGACGAUACCCAUCACCUGGCCCUUUGCUGUGUGGGGUCUGGACCUCGUCGACCCCUUGCAGAAGGCGCCCGGGGGCUACACGCACCUGCUGGUCGCCAUCGACAAAUUCUCCAAGUGGAUCGAGGUCCGACCUCUGAACAGCAUCAGGUCCGAGCAGGCGGUGGCGUUCUUCACCAAUAUCAUCCAUCGUUUCGGGGUCCCGAACUCCAUCAUCACCGACAACGGCACCCAGUUCACCGGCAGAAAGUUCUUGGACUUCUGCGAGGAUCACCACAUCCGGGUGGACUGGGCAGCCGUGGCUCAUCCCAUGUCGAAUGGGCAAGUGGAGCGUGCCAACGGCAUGAUUCUACAAGGGCUCAAGCCUCGGAUUUACAACGACCUCAACAAGUUCGGCAAGCGAUGGAUGAAGGAACUCCCCUCGGUGGUCUGGAGCCUGAGGACAACGCCGAGCCGAGCCACGGGCUUCACGCCUUUCUUCCUAGUCUACGGGGCUGAGGCCGUCUUGCCCACAGACUUGGAAUACGGCUCCCCGAGGACGAGGGCCUACAGCGAUCAAAGCAACCAAGCUAGCCGAGAAGACUCGCUAGACCAGCUGGAAGAGGCUCGGGACAAGGCCUUACUGCACUCGGCGCGGUACCAGCAGUCCCUACGACGCUACCACGCCCGAGGGGUCCGACCCCGAGACCUCCAGGUGGGCGACCUGGUGCUUCGGCUGCGACAAGACGCCCGAGGGAGGCACAAGCUCACGCCCCCCUGGGAGGGACCGUUCGUCAUCGCCAAGGUUCUGAAGCCCGGAACGUACAAGCUGGCCAACAGUCAAGGCGAGGUCUACGGCAACGCUUGGAACAUCCAACAGCUACGUCGCUUCUACCCUUAAGCUGUUUUCAAGUUGUUCAUAUACCUCGCACCCACGCAAAGUUUAGUCAUCAAGGAAGGGUCGGCCUCGCCUCGGCAAAGCCCGACCCUCCCUCGGGGGCUAAAAGGGGGGCAACCCCCUCUGCGUUGAAAUUUUCCUCGAAAAAAGAUCUCUUCUGCCAGAAUAUCUUUCGUGCUUUUUGACUACUUCGAAAAGUGGAUCCUGAAAACGACAGAGUACACAUAAGCAGCCAAGGCUGACCGAGCCGAGGGACUCCUACGCCUCCGGGAUAUGGAUACCUCACUCAUCACCUUCUGCGAGAAGUAACUCGCGUUCGGAUAAAGUGAUUCCGCGGACCGAAUAAGUCUUCACGUUCGGAAGCCCUUCUGCCGAAGCGAUCCUUUGAGCCUACUCGACUGAGUCGGUGACAGGGCCUCGUGGACGGGUGAAAGUGCGCGUAAGCGGCAAGGCCGACCGAGCCGAGGGACUUCCACGCCUCCGGGAUACGGAUACCUCACUCAUCACCUUCCGCGAGAAGCAACUCUCGCUCGCACAAACAUCCCUGUUACCGACAAAAAAGUCUAGAUACUCGAAACAAGAGGAAAAGAGACGCAGCUUUACAACACAGCGAGGGUGUGUUUAGGCCUCGGCGGCCACAGGAAACACAUGCUACAAGACAAACCGAUCCUGCAGGCUCGGGUCUUGACGCUGGAAGGGGGCAGCGGCACCCUCUGCAUCGAUGACACCUUCGGCGAGAUCCGACCUAGCCUCGGACGGCGACGCGGUCCAAGGAUCUCCACUCUGGGGGACGACGUCAUCACCACACCCGGGCAAUCGCUGCCAGGGUCUUCUCCGGGAAUCCAGCCCGAGCAGGCGGCUCGGCCGGUCGCCCCGGGGCCUCGGCCAGCCGUCCUCAGAGGGUGCCCGCCCGACCCGAGGCUUCGGCUGGUCAACUCCGGCGUCGGUCCCGCUAACGGACAACCCGGCUAGGCUCCGGCCAACCAGGUUUCAUUUUCGAGCCAACUCUACCCCUGUUCAUGCUGAUAUCGCUACCCCUAGCCUCGGCUCAUCGAAGAGCGGCCAAGGGGUUCCUUUAACUAAGUUAGAGAAGCCUCGGACAACAAGGCUGACCGAGCCGAGGGACUCCUACGCCUCCGGGAUACGGAUACCUCACUCGUCACCUUGACACGGGGCGACUCACGCUUGGUGAAGCGGUUCAGACAACCAACAGGCGAGACUUAGUGCUCGAAAAUGAGGAAAAAACACGGCUCCGUGCCAAAAUUACAUACAUGUUCAGGCCUCGACAACCAUAAUGAACAAAAACACUGGCAUUCAAAGUGCCGUUACAAACGGAACUCCAGUUCCCCCUCCGCAGGUACGAACAGCCCCACUCGAUGGGGGAUGGCCUGCGGAGCAACAGAAGACGGACGAGCGGCUCGCCACCGCCCGCUCUGACUGCGACGACAACGACCCCCGCUCCGGGUGGCUGAACUGCAGCAGCAUAGGCCUCAGGGUGGGCGCUGCUGCAAUCUUGCCCUCACCCACGCCGACGCUCGAGGGGCGAGGACAAGUGCAAAGAGCCGGAGGCCCGAAGCGCGGAUGGCGGUGGUGAUCCCGUCGGCGACGGGGACUUCUCGAGCCGCCUCCACCUCGGCACCGACGGCAGGGGCCAUCAGCCCUCCGGCAGAUCCCCACUCAAAUCCUCCCGGACGAGUGGGGCAUCGGCCUCCGUGUGGAGGCGCCGUACCGGUGCAAAGGCAGGACCACCCCAGAACACGAACACCGCCCUAGCAGCGCGCGACAUCUUGGGUGGUCCUCCCGUGCACACGGCGCGGCAGCCGCCCUCCGGCAGGAGGGGCCGCCGGGAGCCAAGCCGACGAGCUCGACACGCUGGGGGUGACGACGCCUGCCGUCGACCAGCCCCGCGUUGUCGAAGUCUGGGCCGCCCGCAGGGCCAGUGAGCGCCCUCUCCCUCGAACGCCGCAGGAGAGGGCGACCCACGAACCCGCGAGGGAGGUAGAGCUCCGGCUCAGCCCGGCCUCCACCCUAGCAAGGAUGAUGAACAUCCUUGAAGCUGAGGGUGGGACCAAGAUCGCAGCCCGGCUUGCUUCUCCCCACCCAGGAGCUGGUGGUCACCGUCUUGGGUGACCGCCGGCGGGGGGAUACAGCCGGGCUGGCUGAUGAAAAUCCUUGAAGCCGAACGAUGGCCGAAAGGUACCAACUCCCGCGGAGUUGCGUUCCUCCAACGAUGAGGCGAAAAGACGGCGGAUCUCCCCCAUCUGGGGGCUUGGAAAGUGGAAAGACACGAUGCAUAAGGGAGCGCGAAGACAUGGUCACCUUCCGAAGGGGGUCACCCUCCUUUUAAAGGCAACUCUCCCUGCUUGCGCCCCCAACCGUCACGGGCUGAGUCUUCUCCAACACGCUCCAAGGCCAUCCUGCGCCGCGCGGGGGCUGGGUCCCGCAUGUCAUGCAAGCCGGCUCAGAGCAGAAGAAGCCAAACCGCCGCGCACGGCGCACACGACCGCCCAGCGGUUACAAGUGACCCUCCACUUUUGCCCAGACUAACGGGCGAAAGAGGCGGGCAGCCAUGCAGGCGGCAUGCAACCACGCCAAGUGGACGCGCUUCUCCGACUCCCGACACGCCCAGCAUGGAGGCCCAGGCCCACGCGUCACGCAACCGGCGCGCCGGAUGCUUCAUGCAAGCAACUGCACCGCCACUUGCGCCACCACCGCGCCUCCUCGAUUGCGGAACCAAUACCGCGACUCGAGGCAACCCAGCGCACGACCCAGCGGCGGUCAAUGCGGCCAAAAGUGGGCCGACAGUAAUGACGGUGGCAGGCGGGCGGGAGCAGCGGUCACGUCGUCAGCCAAGCUCACGUCCCAUCCGGGGGCAGCAAGAGAACCCCCUCUCACGGCGUGAAGACAACACGCCCGUGAUCCGUACCUCGAACGGCUCGCGCACGCGCAACAGCCGCCCCGCCAACCACUCGCCCCGUCGCAUUAACUCCGCGGCGGGACAGGCGGCGCUUCUGGCAGGAGAAGCGGGCAACGCUUCGCCUUCGCCGUAAUAACCGCGCCAAAAAAGGUACACCGCGUCGUUUCGAUUUCGUAUCCUUUUCCUUUUUUCCUCUUUCUCUCUCUUGCAACAGGGACCGGGAAAGGGGGAUACCCCGAAAAGGAUCCUUCCCCGUGAAGGAACCAGGCUCCGAGCCUCCCUACUGAUCAGAGGUUCGAAGGCUGGCCCCCCGAGGGGUUCGACAGCCGCCUCAGAUCGCGUGGGCCCUACACCCACUACUGGUCAGAGGUUCGAAGGCCGGCCCCCGAAGGGUUUCACGGCCGCCUCAGGCUACUCGGGCUCCGCGCCCAUUACUGGUCAGGGGUUCGAAGGCUGGCCCCCGAAGGGUUCACAGCCGCCUCAGACGCUGAGCGAGGGAUGACCAUGGGUACGUUCGAUACAUAACCAAGGCUCGGGCUGCGCUCCCGAGGUACCCUAGGACAUUUCCGAGACCAGCGGGAGCGAUCUUGUAACGGAAUCCCAUCAGAGGGAGGCAUCGAGCCCUCGGACCCCGUCGCCAGGGGACCGGGUCCGGCAGAUCACCCGCAGGUACUUUUGGGCGUGCCUCUGGGCCCCUAGCUGACCCCUAACGAACGGGGCACGGACGUCCACUCGGAUUACCCGCUUGCAGCUCACUGGAGACACCAUGUUCGGCGCCCAUCGAGGGCAACAUGGCGCUUUCCCCCCCUCCUCCUUGCGGAAAGGCGACGCAGGGGCGUAUGUAAAAAAGCCGAGUCUGUCCCUGAUCGCCCUCUCGCCCUGUGCAGAGGCUCGGGGGCUGCUCUCGCAAACCCGGCUCCGGCCGAACCGUUGACAGCGUCAACAUACCAGCUCGAGAACUUGGGCCCCGACCGUACACCCGGGCUACGGCCAGUUCGCAUGAGGGAACAACCAGACCAGCCGAAGCAUCACGCGAGGCAUAAAGACCUCGAAGGAGUGAAACCACUCCUCCGAGGCCUCGGGGGCUACACCCGGCGGGUGCGCUCGCGCGCACCCACCGGAACAAACUGCAACCGAGAAAGGCUGGUCCCCUUGCAAAAAAGUGCGACGAAAGCCUCCAAGCGAGUGCUAACACUCCCUUCGAGGCUCGGGGGCUACUGUCGGGGACCAUAAUUAGGGGUACCCUCAAGACUCCUAAUUCUCAGCUGGUAACCCCCAUCAGCAUAAAGCUGCAAAGGCCUGAUGGGUGCGAUUAAGUCAGGGAUCAGUCCAUUCGAGCGACUCGAUCACGCCUCGCCCGAGCCUAGCCUCGGACAAGGGCAGCCGACCCCGGAGGAUUUCCGUCUCGCCCAAGGCCCCCCUCCAACGGCGGACAUAUUUCCGGCUCGCCUGAGGCCCUGCCUUCGCUAAGAAGCAACCCUGACUAAAUCGCCGCACCGACCGACCAAGUCGCAGGAGCAUUUAAUGCAAAGGUGACCUGACACCUUUAUCCUGAUGCGCGCCCCCCCGGCAGAGCCGAAGAGACCGCUGUCACUUCACCGCUCCACUGACCGGCCUGACAGAAGGACAGCGCCGACUGCGCCACUCCGACUGCAGUACCACUUGACAGAGUGAGACUGACAGGCUGUCAGGCCCGGCCAAAGGCACCAUAGGAAGCUCCGCUCUGCCCGACCCAGGGCUCGGACUCGGACUAAGUCCCGGAACACGGCGAACUCCGCUCCGCCCGACCCAGGGCUCGGACUCGGGCUAAGUCCCGGAAGACGGCGAACUCCGCUCCGCCCGACCCAGGGCUCGGACUCGGGCUAAGUCCCGGAAGACGGCGAACUCUGCUCCGCCCGACCCAGGGCUCAGACUCGGGCUCAGCCCCAGAAGACGACGAACUACGCUCCACCCGACCCCAGGGCUCGUACUCCGCCCUGGCCUCUGCCGACGACCUCCGCCUCGCCCGACCCAGGGGCUCGGACUCGGCCUCGGCCACGGAAGACAGGCUCAACCUCGGCUUCAGAGGAGCCUCCGCAUCACCCAACCUAGGGCGUAGGCCAGCCACGUCAACGGGAGGUGCCAUCAUCACCCUACCCCGAGCUGACUCGGGCCGCAGGGAACAAGACCGGUGUUCCAUCUGGCUAGCUCCGCCAGAUAGGCAAUGAUGGCGCCCCGCAUACUCCGUGACGACGGCGGCUCUCAGCCCCCUUACGGAAGCAAGAGGACGUCAGCAAGGACCCGACCGCUCCGACAGCUGUCCCUCCGCCAGGCUCCGUCGCUCCUCCGACGGCCACGACAUCACACCAGCUCGGUGCCAAAAUCUCUCCGGCUGCCACAUCGGCAUGUACUUAGGGCGCUAGCUCUCCCCCGCUAGACACGUAGCACUCUGCUACACCCCCAUUGUACACCUGGAUCCUCUCCUUGCGCCUAUAAAAGGAAGGACCAGGGCCCUCUUAGAGAGGGUUGGCCGCGCGGGGACGAGGACGAGACAGGCGCUCGCUUGGAGCCGCUCGCUUCCCUCACCCGCGUGGACGCUUGUAACCCCCUACUGCAAGCGCACCCGACCUGGGCGCGGGACGAACACGAAGGCCGCGGGAUUCCCACCUCUCUCGCGCCGGUCUCCGGCCGCCUCCUCGCUUCUCCCCCCUUCGCGCUCGCCCUCGCGCUCGACCCAUCUGGGCUGGGGCACGCGGCGACACUCACUCGUCGGCCAACGGGACCCCCCGGUCUCGGAACGCUGACAGGUAUACUAGCCGAGCUCACGGUCAUGAGCAGCUCAGGACUCUCUGAUGAUUAAUUUAUGGAACUAAAUUCAAAUUGUCAUAUGCAUUGCAUCGCAGGUGAUGUUGUUACUUUUGUUCUACUGCUUAAUUGGGUUGGUAUUUACUUAUACUUAGUAAUUGCUAAUAAAAUUUUGACCAACUUUAAAAGCAAUGCUCAGCUCUAACCAUCCUCUUUGAUAAGCCUUACACUUCACAUGAACUCCCACCUUUGGCGAGUUCAUUCACAUUAUUCCCCACAACUUGUUGAGCGAUGAACGUAUGUGAGCUCACUCUUGCUGUCUCACACCCCCACAGGUCAAGAACAGGUACCCCAGGAUGAGGCGCUUGGAGGAUGCUGUGAUGUGUUCGUGAGAGGUCUAGGCCAUCGUCUCCGAGUCAACUUUGGGUUGCUGGACCGUUGUCUCCUUAUAAUGUAAUUAUUUAUUUAUUUUGUAUAGAACUCCUGUUAUAUAGUAAAGAUGUGACAUUCGAUCCUGUGCCAUGAUUCAUCAUAUGUGUGAGACUUGGUCAUAGCACACCUGGUGAUUAUGUUCGCGCCCGGGUCUUGGUGCCCCUGAAAUCCGGGUGUGACAGAAGUGGUAUCAGAGGAAAUGUUGACUGUAGGACGAGACCUAGAUAGAAAUGGACAAAACUCUUACCUACUUAUCUUACUCUGAUUCAUUCCAUACUUACCUUAUCUUGAACCUGUCUCACCUUUUGCUACUCUACUCUAAUUAUUCUUACCUUUUCUUUCUAAAGACAAAAGUGGAUUUCACACUUUGAAAUCCUGUGCCUAAAGUGACCUUUAGGAAUGGGAGACCUACUCUUAGGAACGGAAAUAAAAUUAUUUUUAUAGGUAUUUGUACGCUUGAGUGUUCGUUCUUAUGAUACUUGUCUGAUUUGGAUCUUUGAUUGAGUGUGAUGAUUUGUGGAGUAAUGUCCACAAUUACAUGUGCAUAUACAUAUAGAAAAAAAUACUUAUAGCUAGAUAAACUAGAUUAUUCCUCAUUAAAGUAUCUAGCCUAACAAUAUCCAUCUCAUCUAAAAAGAUUCUAUCCUACACUCAUAGAUCCAUCUCAUCUCAAAAGAUCCUAACUUAUCCUAAUUAAAAUAUAUUUAACUUAAUAGAUCCAUCUUAUCUUAAAAGAUACUCUACUACUUUAAUAGAUUCAUCUUAUCUUGAAAAGAUUUUAUUUUAUUCUAAUAGAUCUAACUGACCUCAAAAGAUUCUACCUUAUCCCUAUGAAUUCAUCUUGUCCCAAUAAGCAUAUUUAUCCCGCACUAGUGUAACAACCAUGAUCUAAUCCAAAGUAAUUAGAUAUUAUCUAGUCUAACCUAGUUAUGCUGAUCUAAUCUAGAUCCCGUCUAAUCUAAUAUGGCCCAAUCUAAAGUGAGUUACUUAAUGGAUAAGUUAAUGCUUAUGAAAUAGAUUAGACCCUAUCCACAUGUUUUAACUUAGUUCACUCUGCACUAAAUAAAGAAUGACAGACCAACCCAACCAAUAGAGUCUUGAUGGAUUGCAUAAUCUGUCUAUCCCCACCUAACAUCAAACAGACUUUUGACCUACAUCAUGUAGUCUAUCUCAUCUAUAUCUAUCUUAACCAUAUUCCCCAACCGAUGAUAUACACUAACCAGGAAUCAAUGAGACCAAGACUGGAGAAGAAAAGAUCGACAUCGACAAGGAAUGAUAUAACAGUCAAAGCGAAUCUCGAGAUGAAUCAAGAUUCAAAUAUUUCGGAUAAAGUCUUCUCCUUGCCAUAAUCUUUCUUACCACAACCUGUCGAGCUUAUAUCCACAUAAUAAGUAGCCGGAUACCUAUGCUCUCCUAAUCAACCCCUAUUGACUAUAAAAAAAUGAAACUCUAGAUUUUUGAACCAAUUAUAGAUUAAAAGCUAAAUUACAAACAAAUCCUUAUGCAUCCCUUUUUCUUACAAAUCUCGAGGACGAGAUUUCUGUUAAGGGGGUAGAAUUUGUAGCACCCAAUAUUCUGAUUUUGGGAUUAGUAAAAUCUUUCUAAACCAAAGUAAAGUGACCCUGAUGAAUAUUUACACUUAGGAGUUCACCCCUUCUAAAAAUAAAUAGUAAUAUUAAAAUAACGUCAGUCUCUGAGUUUCAAGAAAUAAAUAAGAAGAUCCUUGUAUGAGUUAAGAUAUUCAUAAAUGUUCUAAAAACGUUUAGUUUAAAGUCUCUUAAUAGAGAUUAUUCCUUAAAAAGUAUCUUCUAUUAAAAUAAAUAAGUAAUGAAUAUUGGUGCACUUUUAAUUGGACCACACGCAAUGUGGUAUUGCGUUUGUAUAUAUUGUUUGUGUAUAUGAACUAUAUAUUUAAAAGUAUUUGGAUAAGUGAAUAAGAUAAAUGAAUAAAUAGUACAAAAUUCUAAUUUACAUGCUCGAUCAUUAUUGAAUGAUGCAUUUUUUAUCUUGGAAUUUGAAUUGAAACAAAAAAACAAAUUAGAAAAGGAAAAGAAAAAAAAAAGAAGAAGGCCAUACCUGUUGCCGACCAGGCCAAAAAAACGCUCUCCGUUUUUUUUCCUGCUGGCCGCAGCAUGCAACUGUGUGGGACCCACGCAAUUGAGCCCCCUUCUCCCUCCGUAUUGCUCGCAUCCAUCGUAACAACCUCACGAAGUGCUUAAUCCAAUCCUCCACCCACGUCGUGGAUAAAAGCAAGGCCAUGACACCCUGCGCAUAUCUGCCUACCCAUGCGAUCCUCCCCCAAACGUCUUCAUCAUGGACGAAGCCAAGAAGCUGCCAGCGUUGAUCCACACAUAUCGUUCGGUCCUCCUCUGGCGCCAAGAGAUUUGCUGCCGAUGUCGCGAUUCACGCGUUGAACCAGCGUUCCGUUGCCGUUUUCCUGGACCGAUGGCUAGUAUUUAUAAAAGCCGGAGGUCGGGUUUCCUUUCCCCAUCUAUCCUCUGGAAGCAAGCUUCUGUCGACACCGUGGGAGCGGGUUAGAGUGCGGUGCGGGGGAGAGAGGCCCGCCGCAUCCUGGGCUCGCCGGUGCUGCCCUUCUACACCAGUGGGGUGGUUCUGGGGCUUCGCCAGCACGCGGGGAAGCUUUGCCUGGUUCGUGCGCAUCGGGGUUGUGGCCGGAGCCUGGGUAAUUUCUCGACGGAAUUUCGGCCUCCGUGGUGUGGCCACCGAGCACCGCAGAUUGGACACGUGAUCGCAUAACAGAAGGUAAAUAACCAAUUGAAUCACUUCCCCAUGUCCUUUCAAUCGUAUUUACGCAAAUUGGGGCGGAAACCAGGCAACGGGGGCACCAGUGCGUCGUGCUCCGGCGGGAUUCCGCCGUGCAGACUGGGCGGCGCCGCCGCGCUCUGGCGUCGGGCGGGGAAGACGCCUCGUCACCGUCAGAUCACUUGUGGGCGGUUGAGAUUAGAUCGACCCAUACCCCUUCACUCGAUUAAAUCUGUGCCGUCGGUUGCAGGCUUUGCGGUCGAGAUUGGGUUACGGCGUGGAUGCCUCACGACCAUCAGAUCUUAAUCUAGCGGCUGUCGUUGGAUACUGAGUUAGGUUUUAUAAAAAAAUCUAAUCGCAACCGUCAGAUAGAGAUCCAACGGUCCAAGUAGCCCGAUACCCCUUCGCCCUGGCCUAUUUGCUAAAGAGACCCCGUAAUCUUUACAAAUUAACCCGCCGUCCGAUUCGGAUACAAACUGAGUCUUAAGACAAUUAAUGAGUUAGACCUCGGGUUCUCUGUUAAUGUUUGUGCAGUCCAGAACCUAAAAGAAAUUCGAGUUUAAAUAAGGAAAAAUGGAAUUUUAGUAUAAAAAUAAAUCUUGAAACUUAUUUAAUUCAUAGAAAUUCCAUUUUUACUCCUUUUUAACCCAUUCCAGUUGCAAUAAUUUUGUAUUAAUAUUGUCUAUCAACUAAUAACAUUGUUUAACCAUGAAACUUGAAUUGAAAUUGUUCAUUAGGAUCAAUCUAUUCUAAGUACCAAAUAAUUUCGGAAAUUUAUAACUUAAUAACCGUAGCCCCGAAUUUAGUGGUUCUUGUUUCUACGAUCUCGUAGCUUCGCGUAGAUUAUUAAUGCGCAGUUUAUCCUUAUGUUUGGUGUGAUGUUAAUUUUGCCUAUACAUGUUUGUCUAUAUUGCUACGUUUAGCGGUGAGGACACGAGUCACCUGAAGAGCAAGUUGGUACCUGGAAUCUCAAGUCCCAGGCAAGUUGUGCCCUUGAUCACUUCUUUUACCCACUCAUGUUCUAAUUAAUCAUAAUGAUCUGCAUAGGUUAAUUUUGAUGGGACCUAAUAGGUUACCUAGUUUGUCUAUCUUUAUGCCUUGUUUACCACUGAACUUUUUGGGUAGUACUUGCUAGUGCUAUAUGUGGUUUUGGGCAUUGAGAUACACAUUAUUCAUGAUUAUACUUUUGUUAUCCGUUGUUAUUUACUGUUCAUGUCAAGAUCAUUAAUGUUAAUUGGAACAUAGAGCUUAACUUGAGAAACACGUGCCACCACAAGGGUUUAUGGACGCCCUUGGCUGAUUAAUUAGGAAAGCUAGUGGAGGACUACCUUACCCGAAAGGGGCAAGGGCAGUAGGGGAGUGGUCAGUGUAGGGAGGUCCUUGCUUGAUUUUGCUGCGAUGGCGGUCAGGCAAGAACCCUGCAUUGGAGCUUCCUAUAAACUAUAGCGGGUUUUCUGAAGCUAGUGGAACUUUGUAAAGGCCUCGUAGUGUUACCCUGCCUUGCCUCCUCGGUAGAGGUGUACGGGAAGUCGCGAUCCCUUGGCAGAUGGGUAACAUGGCUUGUGGGUAAAGGGUACAACCUCUGCAGAGUGUAAAACUGGUAUACUAGCCGAGCUCACGGUCAUGAGCAGCUCAGGACUCUCUGAUGAUUAAUUUAUGGAACUAAAUUCAAAUUGUCAUAUGCAUUGCAUCGCAGGUGAUGUUGUUACUUUUGUUCUACUGCUUAAUUGGGUUGGUAUUUACUGAUACUUAGUAAUUGCUAAUAAAAUUUUGACCAACUUUAAAAGCAAUGCUCAGCUCUAACCAUCCUCUUUGGUAAGCCUUACACUUCACAUGAACUCCCACCUUUGGCGAGUUCAUUCACAUUAUUCCCCACAACUUGUUGAGCGAUGAACGUAUGUGAGCUCACUCUUGCUGUCUCACACCCCCCCACAGGUCAAGAACAGGUACCCCAGGAUGAGGCGCUUGGAGGAUGCUGUGAUGUGUUCGUGAGAGGUCUAGGCCGUCGUCUCCCAGUCAACUUUGGGUUGCUGGACCGUUGUCUCCUUAUAAUGUAAUUAUUUAUUUAUUUUGUAUAGAACUCCUGUUAUAUAGUAAAGAUGUGACAUUCGAUCCGGUGCCAUGAUUCAUCAUAUGUGUGAGACUUGGUCCCAGCACA
rnacentral:lncRNA from 1 species